rnacentral:rRNA from 1 species
UACGUAGGUGGCAAGCGUUGUCCGGAAUUAUUGGGCGUAAAGCGCGCGCAGGCGGCUUCUUAAGUCUGAUGUGAAAUCUCGGGGCUCAACCCCGAGCGGCCAUUGGAAACUGGGAGCUUGAGUACAGAAGAGGAGAGUGGAAUUCCACGUGUAGCGGUGAAAUGCGUAGAUAUGUGGAGGAACACCAGUGGCGAAGGCGACUCUCUGGUCUGUAACUGACGCUGAGGCGCGAAAGCGUGGGGAGCAAACAGG